ensembl:rRNA 5S_rRNA 5S ribosomal RNA
GCUUACGGCCAUGCCACCUUAGGCACGCCCGAUCUCGUCUGAUCUCGGAAGCUACGCCGGGUCGGGCCUGGUUAGUACUUGGAUGGGUGACCGCCUGGGAAUACCAGGUGCUGUAAGCA